rnacentral:rRNA from 1 species
AGUGGCGGACGGGUGAGUAACGCGUGGGUAACCUGCCUCACACUGGGGGAUAACAGUUAGAAAUAGCUGCUAAUACCGCAUAAGCGCACGGUUCCGCAUGGAACAGUGUGAAAAACUCCGGUGGUGUGAGAUGGACCCGCGUCUGAUUAGCCAGUUGGCGGGGUAACGGCCCACCAAAGCGACGAUCAGUAGCCGGCCUGAGAGGGUGACCGGCCACAUUGGGACUGAGAUACGGCCCAGACUCCUACGGGAGGCAGCAUG